ACCCAAGCUGGUAGAGGUUUACUUUUGCUAUGUCAUUUCUCCUACAUUCUUCUACCUCAGUUCCUUCACUGCUGCGUUCUCUGUUCAGAAGGAAACCCGUUCCCAUUUUCCUUUCACUUUUAGUUGAAUAAGUUUUGUUUUAUCUGCCAAAUUUAACACAUUGCUUCUCAGCUUCUUCCCAAGUAGAGAAUAGGUGUGGCACCCCAGAGCUCCACACAGAAGUCUAAUUUAUGUAUGUGCAUGUGUGUGCAUUAUCCUGCUGGUUCUGGAUUACUUUUUAAGCAGUUUUUGGCCAUUGGUAAAAUUUUGUCUUCUCUACAUGCUUAGUUCAUAAAUAAUCACUAGUGAGAAUCCUUCUGCAAGGCUGUGUCUGCAAGGCUUUGUCUGUUAUUUUGCUGAAACAGCUGAAGAAUGCCAGCUGACUGCAGAGGUAUCCUAUCUCUUGUCAUGUAACGCUUCCAGUGCUUUAUUUCCUUUGUGACCAAAUCAACUAUUUUACUUUGUAAUGACAUUUGCAAUAAGUAGAUGCCAUUAGAGAUGGAACCGCCACACUCUGGGAAGCAGAACUGUUUGUAGCCCAACUGUUUCCAAGAGUAUUGCCACGAGUUUGCUAAAGGCAGAAUCAGAGCCACUGUGCUUAAUGGUAAACAUAGGUGAAAUUCUUUGGGAUUCCUGAGGGUUUCAGGCUCAGCACCUUUAGUCAUUGCUACCAUUUGGGUCACCCAACACACCAGCACUCUGCGGCUUUUAGUUUCACAUGCAUCCAGUUUGAUCUCUCCAAAUCUAAUCCCUCCAAUUACACCUGUACUGUCAGCCUGGGAUGACCCAGUCUUACAGCCCUCUUAUGUCCUGUGCCUGCUUUGCACGUAGAAUUUCUGUUCCAGUUAAAGGUACAACUGAAACAGUUAAAUCAAUGAAAGCCCUAAAGAAGGUGAGGUUGUCAGCAAGGGGGGCUUAAUACCAGUACCACUUGCUCCUGCAAAUCAGACCAUGUGUGUGGCGUGCAUGGGCUCUACCUGCAGAGAGUGUGCACCUUUGCCAAACCAGAAGGGUUGAUCUGACACAACGCCAUGUGUCCUUUGGCCUCAGAAGUGCAAUUUAAAGCAUUUGGGUAAACGCGUGCUACAAAAUAAUGUUUAACCCAGAAUUAUUUGUUAAUGGAACAUUAACGCUGUUGGAGGAGGCAGGAAAUUCCGAGUUAGAGCUCCCCUGUGCACGCCGCCUACUUUGUGUGUGUGCGUUGGAAGCGGGGCUGUCACAAUACAUAGAACGCAGACACAAGUUCUGUUCUCUUUGAAGCAAGGAGCUGCCAAAAUAAAGAGCAAUCGGGCAUUGGCACUGGCCGCUCGGGGCGGUGCUGGAAGUCACCAUCCCAGGAGUGUGCCACAUGGCUGCAUAACAGGUGCGACUGCACCAAGUACUUUGCCACCAUCCCUACGGAAGAUUCACUUCAC